rnacentral:rRNA from 1 species
AGCUCCAAUAGCGUAUAUUAAAGUUGCUGCAGUUAAAAAGCUCGUAGUUGCAUUUCCGAGGCAAGGGAUUAGUCCGACCUUUGGUGGGUAUUUAAUCCUCUUGCCUCGUCCUUGAGUGGUGCUUCUUGGUAUUAAGUUAUCGAGGAGAUAGCCGCUCAUCGUUUACUGUGAGAAAAUUAGAGUGUUCAAAGCAGGCUUAUGCCGUUGAAUAUAUUAGCAUGGAAUAAUAAGAUAGGACCUGGGUACUAUUUGGUUGGUUUGAGAACCAAGGUAAUGAUGAAUAGGGACAGUUGGGGGUAUUCGUAUUCAGUUGUCAGAGGUGAAAUUCUUAGAUUUACGGAAGACGAACUACUGCGAAAGCAUUUACCAAGGAUGUUUUCA